UUUUGAGAGGAUAAAUAAGGUUAUUGAGUUGAAAAAAUACAGAAUUCUGACUGGUAACAAAGUUCAUAAAAAUACAGAAUUCUGAUUGGUUAUAAGUUUAACAAAAUAAAGAGCUCUGGUUUAUUAAGUUCAACAAAAUAUAGAAUUCUGAUUGGUUAAGUUCAACAAGAUACAGAACUCUGAUAGGAUAAUUUCCAAAAAAUACAGAAUUCUGAUUGGUUAAUUUCAACAAAAUACAGAAUUCUGAUUGAUUAAGUUUAACAAAAUACAGAAUUCUGAUUGGUUUUAUUUCAUGCAGAAGUUGUCAAGACCAUGAAAUAAUGUAUCUAUAAAAAUUAUGUUUUAUCAAUCAAUGAAACCCAUUCAAAAAUAAUGAAUCCACAGUAUAUAUAUAAGAUGUACCUGUAUUGUUGAAAGAGAAAUCACUUGUACAGAAUCAUAUCAAAACACAAAGUGCUAUAUACAUUUUUGUUCAAAAUAUAUAAUGGGUUAAAUUCAUAAAUUAUGGAAUAAGCUCCUGUCUUAUUCAAGUUUACAACUGCAUGUACAUCUACUUUUUAAUAAGUGAUAAUUUUUAAACACCUUCCCUUUUCAAAGCGAAAUAUUUGAAAAAGUGUGUUGAUCUUUUAAGAAUUAUCUCCCAUGUGACAGAUUUUCAAGGUUUUACAAUUACAAUUAAUUUUAAUAAAAAAAAACCAAAUGCAUAAGUAUGCAUGCUAAGAUCUUAGUGGUCAUGGUGGUUCAAAAUAAAAUUCAUUUAUUACAAAAAGUCUCAGCCAUUGCAGUCUUUUUUUAAUUCCCAUAUAUAGCAGAUUCUUAUGACAUUGGUGCAGUAAAAAAACAUGUAUAUUAUCAAAAAUGUAAUACUAUAAAAAAAAUUUAAACUUUAUGUUGUCAGCUUACUAAUCAGUAUACAUUUAUAUGUGUCUUGUAAUUAGCUUUUGAUAUAUGACAAAUGUCAUCUGACAGCUAAAAAUCUAUAAAUAGCACAAGGAAAUCUGUAUAAAAUAGCACUGCAAAAUGUAUUUGAUAUGUUUUUCAUGCAACAAAUGUAUUACAGCCAAAUUGUAGAAGCUUAUAAAUAUAUACAUCACAUUCAAUAAUUAUUAUUUCUAUGUAGGAUUUGGGAACAUAAUUUCUUUUUAUGUUUUUAUUAUAAUAAUAUGAUAAGUGUGUAUAAACACUAUCUGCUAUAGGGUUUUUAAUAGAUUUUUUUACACAGUUGGGGACAGGUUGAGGUUGUGAAAAUCUAGACUUUAAUUUAUUCAAUAUUCGUCUGAAGUCUAACAGUCUUUUUUUUUAGUCUUUUUCAUCCAAGGGACAUCCAUAACUUACUCAGAGUCAACAAAUUUGUGUUAUCCCAAAAAAAUCCAAAUUGAUGAACCACAAAAUAAGCAAAGUAACUUGUCAAAUAUGUUACAGUAAAAAUUAUAUUACAUUAUAGAAAGUACUAGUUAACCAUUUUUAACAUCAAGGAUUUGUGCAUUUAUUCUUCAAAUAAUGUAAGAUAAAUAGCAUAUCGUAAAAGCGUUUACUAUUGCUUGCUCAUCAUUAUCAACAAUAAUAUAUCAAAU
rnacentral:lncRNA from 1 species